rnacentral:snoRNA from 1 species
GUCACGCACAUCAGAGCGCACGGUUCCUGCCGACAGGGUCUGUACAGUCAUCAGAUGUCCUGUGCGAUGGUGCCGUACAUG